rnacentral:rRNA from 1 species
AUUGAACGCUGGCGGCGUGCCUAAUACAUGCAAGUCGAACGCAGUGGGGACGGGAGAGUAACACGUGGGUAACCGCCCAUCAGAGGGGAUAACACUGGGAAACAGGUGCUAAACCGAGACUGAUGGAUGGUCGCGCUGGGAAUUAGCUAGUUGGUGAGGUAACGGCUCACCAAGGCCACGAUGCAUAGCCGGCCUGAGAGGAUGAUCGGCCACACUGGGACUGAGACACGGCCCAGACUCCUACGGGAGGCAGCAGUAGGGAAUAUUGGGCAAUGGGCGAAAGUCUGACCGAGCAACGCCGCGUGAGUGAAGAAGGUCUUCGGAUUGUAAAGCACUGUUAGUAGAGAGGCGGUAUCUACACAGAAAGCCACGGCUAACUACGUGCCAGCAGCCGCGGUAAUUC